rnacentral:rRNA from 1 species
AGGGGAAAGAUUUAUCGCUAUAGGAUGGGCCCGCGUUGGAUUAGCUAGUUGGUGAGGUAAUGGCUCACCAAGGCGACGAUCCAUAGCUGGUCUGAGAGGACGACCAGCCACACUGGGACUGAGACACGGCCCAGACUCCUACGGGAGGCAGCAGUGGGGAAUAUUGGACAAUGGGCGCAAGCCUGAUCCAGCCAUGCCGCGUGAGUGAUGAAGGCCUUAGGGUUGUAAAGCUCUUUUGGCGGGGACGAUAAUGACGGUACCCGCAGAAUAAGUCCCGGCUAACUUCGUGCCAGCAGCCGCGGUAAUACGAAGGGGACUAGCGUUGUUCGGAAUCACUGGCGUAAAGCGCACGUAGGCGGAUUUGUAAGUCARGGGUGAAAUCCCGGGGCUCAACCUCGGAACUGSCYUUGAUACUGCGAAUCUCGAGUYCGAUAGARGUG